GAUGAACGCUGGCGGCGUGCCUAAUACAUGCAAGUCGAGCGAACGGACGAGAAGCUUGCUUCUCUGAUGUUAGCGGCGGACGGGUGAGUAACACGUGGAUAACCUACCUAUAAGACUGGGAUAACUUCGGGAAACCGGAGCUAAUACCGGAUAAUAUUUUGAACCGCAUGGUUCAAAAGUGAAAGACGGUCUUGCUGUCACUUAUAGAUGGAUCCGCGCUGCAUUAGCUAGUUGGUAAGGUAACGGCUUACCAAGGCAACGAUGCAUAGCCGACCUGAGAGGGUGAUCGGCCACACUGGAACUGAGACACGGUCCAGACUCCUACGGGAGGCAGCAGUAGGGAAUCUUCCGCAAUGGGCGAAAGCCUGACGGAGCAACGCCGCGUGAGUGAUGAAGGUCUUCGGAUCGUAAAACUCUGUUAUUAGGGAAGAACAUAUGUGUAAGUAACUGUGCACAUCUUGACGGUACCUAAUCAGAAAGUCACGGCUAACUACGUG
rnacentral:rRNA from 1 species